GUGCGUAAACUCUCCCCUCUCUCGUUGCUGUCAUCAUCAAUCUCUCCCAAAUUUCAGUGCGUGACUGUGUGUGAGCUCUUCCGUGGUGGUUUCGAUCAUUUUCAGGUCGGAAUUGACUAAGACUAUGGAUUCUUCUCUCUGGGAUCCACCAAUUUGUGAAGAUGACAGUGCUGAUUUUAAAGGGAAUUGGCAGUCUGAUUUCUCCUCUGGUGUGGGCCGUGAUGUCAUGGAAGAAGAUGCUAUAAAUGAAAGGUGUUGUAUCGAAGUGCUGAAAAGA